rnacentral:misc_RNA from 1 species
UUGAAAUGAACAUGAUGGGUUGCUGCUGGUUCUCUAGGGAGCAUGUGCACGCCUUGUCAUCUUUAUAUCUCCACCUGUGCACCCUUUGUAGACCCUGGAUAUUUUUCCAUGGUCUAUGUUGCUUCUUCAUAUACCCCAAUGUAUGUUAAUAGAAUGUUUGUGCCUAUAAAAUCUAUA